rnacentral:ncRNA from 12 species
UGAGCUGGUCGCAAGACCCAGGUUCAACCUAACAGGCGUGGGAGACUCCC